rnacentral:piRNA from 1 species
UGCACCACUUCGCUGUAAUGAAAACAGCUGC